GAUGAGCAUGCGUCCCAUUAGCUAGUUGGUAAGGUAACGGCUUACCAAGGCAACGAUGGGUAGGGGUCCUGAGAGGGAGAUCCCCCACACUGGUACUGAGACACGGACCAGACUCCUACGGGAGGCAGCAGUGAGGAAUAUUGGUCAAUGGGCGCAAGCCUGAACCAGCCAUGCCGCGUGCAGGAUGAAGCAUCUAUGGUGUGUAAACUGCUUUUGUACGAGAAGAAACACUCCUUCGUGAAGGAGCUUGACGGUAUCGUAAGAAUAAGGACCGGCUAACUCCGUGCCAGCAGCCGCGGUAAUACGGAGGGUCCAAGCGUUAUCCGGAAUCAUUGGGUUUAAAGGGUCCGUAGGCGGUUUUGUAAGUCAGUGGUGAAAGCCCAUCGCUCAACGGUGGAACGGCCAUUGAUACUGCAAGACUUGAAUUAUUGGGAAGUAACUAGAAUAUGUAGUGUAGCGGUGAAAUGCUUAGAUAUUACAUGGAAUACCAAUUGCGAAGGCAGGUUACUACCAAUACAUUGACGCUGAUGGA
rnacentral:rRNA from 1 species